UAGUAUCAGAUAUUAUUAACUUCUCUAGAACACGUGUAUCAGAAAUUUGUUCCCCUCUUUCUCGAAACUAAAUCCCUAACCCUCCGAAUCAUCUCCUCUGCUUUCUCGAACCAAGCAACAAAGAACCCCGAUGUUGAGGGCCAACGAAUUGCCUGAAGACUUGGUGAUACAGAUUCUGCUAUGGCUUCCGGUUGUCUCUCUCUUGCGAUUCAAGUCCGUCUGCAAAUCCUGGUACGCUCUCAUCACAAACCAAAACUUCAUAGCAAAACACCUCCUAUACAACAAGAACUGCAACACUCAGCUUCUCUUUAAAACGCGCGACAAAAGCAACGAAGAUUAUGUUGUAUCCACGAUUUCUCAUGAAACACUCCAAGUGUCCCUUACACAACCUCUACCUCCAUACUUUGAGCUCGACGUCGACGAGAAGUUUUUUAUUUUUGUGGUGGGUUCUUGCAAUGGUCUCGUUUGUCUCCACGAUUACCUUGCAUUGCAUGAAGUUAUAUGGAAUCCUGCAACUAAAGAAACAAAGAUUGUCCCUAAAUCAAACCUGCCCCGCAUUGUCCCCGCUGGGUGUUACACCAGAACUGAAGGUAUAGGAUUUGGUUUUGAUGCGAAAACUAAUGACUAUAAGAUAAUCAACUUUCUUAAUAUCUAUAAUCCCCGCCUUUCCUAUUAUCCAUCUAAAAAUGGAGUCAUAUUCCAAAUAGAGGUAUACAGCUUAAGAGCCGAUUCUUGGAGAAAAGUUGAUGGACCCCCUUGUUUUUUUUCUAAUCGUGAAAUAAUUCCAGGGACAUACAUCAAUGGGAUGGCUUCUUGGGCGGCAUAUAGUAAUGAUUGGGAGGAGUCAUUUCUUUUGUCAUUUGACAUGAGCAAUGAGCAUAUUACUCUCGAAGAGGUGUUUUGGUACUUAGGUCUGGUUGAUGGGACCAGUGGACAUAAUUGUCAAAAUUGAGCUCUUUGAAUAGAGGUCCGGGGACAUACAUCAAUGGGAUGGCUUCUUCGCCGGCAUAUGUUAAUCAUUGGGAGUCAUUUGUUUUGUCAUUUGACAUGACUGAUGAGAAGAGAAAAUAAAAUACAGAAAACAAGGCUGCUCUAAAGCAUUGGAGCAUUCAGCAUUUUUGCAAUAUCCAUUUCAAGAUCAACGCUAUUCUGGUUGAGUUAGACAGAGUCCCAACAAUCAAGCCCCAUGAAUAGCGUUUUCGAACCCAUAUUAACCCAACAGAUUCUUAAUAUUCACAAGCCACUUACACUAUUUAGUCACAUUUUACUGUUACUGCAGCAAUUUUAAGUGACUAUGAGGGAGACAUGAGCAUCAUUGCAGCUUCAUCCAAAAACUCCCCCCAAUCGAACUUCAGUUGAGGAGGAGGCUCAAGCAGUUCUUGUAGCUGUUCAUCUGGCAAUUUCAAUGGAUGCUCCUAUCUCUUUUUUUUUUUUUAUUAUUAUUAUUAUUAUUUUUUAUUUUUUUAUAUAUGAAUAUGCUCCUCCCUCAUCUUUGAAGAUGACUAUCUUUUGGCCAUAGGUAAAGGUCAUCUCCGUACUGAUUAGCUAUGCGCCCUCGUCAUCUCCGACAUCCAUUAGCAAUUGCUCGUCUUUGAGAAGUGGAUAAGAAUUGCCUUGAAGUUUUCUAGA